rnacentral:misc_RNA from 1 species
AAAAGUUUACAUGUUCUUCUGUGUUGGAAGGAAAGGGCAAAAACUUCUUACGGUACCCAUUAGAGUAUUUGCUAGAGGAUAAGCCAGUGAACUUCAAUGACUCACAAACAUAAUGUCAUUAAAGUGGGAGACAAGACAUACAAUGAAGUUGGAGAUAAGUGACAGUGAAGGAUGAAAUGGGGUAAGGAAUCAGAUGAACAGCUUUUGGA